rnacentral:rRNA from 1 species
GACGAACGCUGGCGGCGUGCUUAACACAUGCAAGUCGAACGGAAAGGCCCUGCUUUUGUGGGGUGCUCGAGUGGCGAACGGGUGAGUAACACGUGAGUAACCUGCCCUUGACUUUGGGAUAACUUCAGGAAACUGGGGCUAAUACCGGAUAGGAGCUCCUGCUGCAUGGUGGGGGUUGGAAAGUUUCGGCGGUUGGGGAUGGACUCGCGGCUUAUCAGCUUGUUGGUGGGGUAGUGGCUUACCAAGGCUUUGACGGGAAGCCGGCCUGAGAGGGUGACCGGCCACAUUGGGACUGAGAUACGGCCCAGACUCCUACGGGAGGCAGCAGUGGGGAAUAUUGCACAAUGGGCGGAAGCCUGAUGCAGCAACGCCGCGUGCGGGAUGACGGCCUUCGGGUUGUAAACCGCUUUCGCCUGUGGCGAAGCGUGAGUGACGGUAAUGGGUAAAGAAGCACCGGCUAACUACGUG